rnacentral:rRNA from 1 species
GCUAAAAAUAUAGCCCAACCCAUUUCUUAUGUACACUUAAAUUUUUUCUUUUCCCCCAUAAAGCAUUCUUAUGAUCUAGUAAAGGUGAUUAAAAAAUCAAUUGGAGCAAUAAAACUAGUACCGCAAGGGAAGAAUGAAAUAAAAUGAAAAAUGUUCAAGCAUAAAAAAGUAGAGAUUACAUCUCGUACCUUUUGCAUCAUGGUUUAAUUAGUCACAAUCAAGCAAAAAGUUUUUGUUUGACCCCCCGAAACCAGACGAGCUACUUCAAGGCAGCUAACGAGCCAACCCGUCUCUGUUGCAAAAGAGUGGGAAGACCUUCUAGUAGAGGUGACAAACCUAUCGAGCCUGGUGAUAGCUGGUUAUUCAAGAAAAGAAUUUUAGUUCAACCUAAAGCCAACUUAGCCUAACAAGGCAAAACCCUUGCUUUAGAGCAAUUCAAAUAAGGUACAGCCUAUUUGAAACAGGACACAACCUAUACUAACGGACAAACUUAAUUUUUUUAACCAAGUCGGCCUAAAAGCAGCCACCUUAAUAAUAGCGUCAAAGCUUACUUUUUUCCCCCCUCCCCCAAUCUCCCAAAUUAUCAAAAACCCUUCACCCCUAUUGAAUAAUUCUAUACCCCUAUAGAACCUUUUAUAUUAAAACUAGUAACAAGAAGAACGCCCUUCUCUUAGAUACAAGUGUACAUCAGAACGGACAAACCACUGAUAUUUAACACACCUGAAAACAAAUUAACAACUAACCAAGAAAAACUUAUUUUUCCUAAUGUUAACCUUACACAAGAGUAUCCCAAGAAAGAUUAAAAGAAAAAGAAGGAACUCGGCAAAUAUUAACCCCGCCUGUUUACCAAAAACAUCGCCUCUUGCCUCACAUAAGAGGUCCAGCCUGCCCAGUGACUAUUGUUUAACGGCCGCGGUAUCCUGACCGCGCAAAGGUAGCGCAAUCACUUGUCUUUUAAAUGAAGACUAGUAUGAACGGCACCACGAGGAUUAUACUGUCUCCUUUCUCUAAUCAGUGAAACUAAUCUCCCCGUGAAAAAGCGGGUAUACAAAUAUAAGACGAGAAGACCCUAUGGAGCUUUAAACUAAUAACAAUCGUUCCCCCUUCCAGUACUUUAACUAAACUCAACGACAUGAUUAAAAGUUUUCGGUUGGGGCGACCACGGAGAAAAAAAUAACCUCCACAUUGAACGGGACUAACCCCUGAGCAAAAAACCACAACUUCCUGCACCAAUAAAUUGACAUUUCUUGACCCAAUAUUUUGACCAAUGAACCAAGUUACCCUAGGGAUAACAGCGCAAUCCACUUCAAGAGCCCCUAUCGACAAGCGGGUUUACGACCUCGAUGUUGGAUCAGGGUAUCCCAGUGGCGCAGCCGCUACAAAAGGUUCGUUUGUUCAACGAUUGAAACCCU